rnacentral:rRNA from 1 species
CCAAUAGCGUAUAUUAAAGUUGUUGCAGUUAAAGAGCUCGUAGUUGAAUUUCGGGAUUGACACAUCGGUCGUGCCUUAAGGGGUGUGAACUGGUGUAGUCAAUUUCUCACCUUCUGGAGAACCGCGAUGUCCUUAAUUGGGUGCCGCGAGGAACCAGGACCUUUACUUUGAAAAAAUUAGAGUGUUUAAAGCAGGCAUUUUUGCUUGAAUACAUUAGCAUGGAAUAAUAAAAUAGGACGGCAUGAUUCUAUUUUGUUGGUUUCUAGGAUCACCGUAAUGAUUAAUAGGGAUAGUUGGGGGCAUUAGUAUUCAAUUGUCAGAGGUGAAAUUCUUGGAUUUAUUGAAGACUAACUACUGCGAAAGCAUUUGCCAAGGAUGUUUUCAUUAAUCAAGAACGAAAGUUAGGGGAUCGAAGACGAUCAGAUACCGUCGUAGUCUUAACCAUAAACUAUGCCGACUAGGAAUCAGACGAUGUUAAUUUUUUAAUGACUCGUUUGGCACCUUACG